AGCCUGAGCAACAAGAGAAUUCCCACCACGCAAGUCAGCACAGCAACCCUAUUAUUGUCCAGCUUACCAGGAAAAAAAGACGGGUGUUGCUGGAACAACUGUAACCAGAAUAACUUAAGGAAAGGGUAAAAAGCUAUGAGUAACUCCAUGUGUCAUGCCCAGCCCCGCCGCUGCUCGCCACCUCCAACCGAGCGCAUGGCCGAACGUCACUGCUGCUCGAAGGAAUGAACCACAGCUUGACCUCCAACCUGCAGAAAUACUCCGAGGACAUCUCCCCAGACGAAACGACAAUUAAAACCAGAACCAGCGCAUACGCACGUUCCCUGCGCGGACAGAUGCUGGAGGUUUUUUCCGUGCCAGCCGUCCCGAGGCAACGCAGUACGCAGCGCUGUGACUUGUAGCUGCAAAAAUGUGAGAAAUGGCCAAGUUUCCAGAAUGCAUCACAAACCAAACCGAAGCCUCCUCUGCAGCCUUACGGUUCUCUCUUGCCUUUUCUCUCACAAAUCAUUGCAUUUUAGUGCGUUUAGUCAUCUUCCUAAAUUCGGCUGCGAAUCGGACCGCUCUUAACCAAGCGCUGGGAAGUUCUUCCCCUGCACCAUGCAGGCACAACCAGGGACCUUCUGAAAGGAAAACCAGGACAUAAGCAGGUAUUCCCCUUAUGAGGGCUAUUCCAGGCCGUAAAAAGAUGAUCAGUGAGUAUUUUCACAUGCUCUGCAUGAUGCCACCAACUAACAAUGAAGAGCACUUGUGACCUCAGAUCAACAAAAGCUCUCAAAGCAUCUUUUUUUUUGACCCAGAUUAAGCACGGCAUGAAUAAAUCCAGCCAACCCCACGAUAAUUUAAGCAUAUGUCUAAAAUGAAAUACAAGAUUGAAUGUUCUUCUGGCUCAGGGCAUACUUUAAACCCCUUUCAUUAUAUGGUUUCCAGUGCAAGACAAAAUCACAACGCUGAAAAAAAAGGAGUAGACUGGAAGAGAACCAGGCUACAAAUCACAAAUUAUUUCACUGUCAGCAUCUUAUCUUUAAACCAUUCUUGCAGGGAAAGAACAGCAGGAAAGAGGCUCAAAAAUUAUUUCAAAGACACUACUGCACUGGCUGUCUGCUAGCAGAUUAAUCAUUCAUUGCCCGCUUAACAUAAAUGUAAUUGUUUUGGAAUAUUGCAAAAUUACAAGAGCGUAUAGUGACUCAAGUCGAAUCUGGCUCUUCAUUUUACAUCUGUUUUAGACUUGUUAUCUCUGCUGCAGAAAGGACCAACUUCAAGGAAAAAAAUGUCACGCAGCUGAAAGUUUAUUGAUUACCCAGACAACAACUCCGGCCCAGCCACUGCAGAUCUCUCCACGGGAUGGUAUUCACAGAAACUGCUUCUAAUGAGGAAACCUUAAGGCAAGAAAGGAAAACCUGAGGGCAGAUCAGAGGCACCAUCCUGGACCUGCAGGCCGGCCCCCUUCCAGCUCUCUGCCCCGAUGCUUCAUCCCAGACCACAACCACAUCCCGCCAAGGGGCCAGCAAGCGCCGUUGUUUUCCCUGGCACUCGCACCCCACCAGUGUCCGCCUCGAGCCCCACCUUGGAAAGGGCACGGCAAUCCUACAGCUGAAAUAACCACGGCCAGGAAACUUGCAAAAAUAGGAUUUGAGUCCUCACAACAGCGAGCUUUUCAAGGCUGUGACACAGAGGAUGCCCAGAGAAAGUGGGAAACAGCCACAAUUUCCUCAUCACCCCUGCAGGCUCCCUCCUCUACCAUCCUGGUGCUCCAGCUUGCGGACGUCCAAGUGAUGAAGGAGGUCCUGGUGAUGGAGGAGGUCUCGGUGAGGGAGAUCUCACAUGCCAACAGGAGAGGGGUCAGCCCAGCCAGGACAUGGGGAGGUGCCCAUGGUCCUGCACUCCUAUAUGUGCAGGAGUAUUCCCAAAACCCCCUGAGCACCAACUGCAAGAGUACUCACUGAUUUCCAUGACAAGCCAUAGGUGGUCCUGAGGCACCUCCAUGAGCCCUCAAUGCUUCAUGAGAUCUCCCGCUCGAUGGGAGCCACCUUCCCUCGGAAACAAAGCUUGCACAGGUUUCAGCUCGUUUCCAGUUUAAAAAUAA